CUAAGUUUCGUAACGACUGGGAGCCGCCAUUGGAGCUCCUCAGGACAGCCGCGUGGGAAACAGAGGGAGCAGCGGGGCCACUGGGGCCCCCCAGCAGCCCCGAUUACAGACAACAUGCAGCUGAAGAUUAUUAUGGAACACAAUCCUCUAACUCAAAUGGGUCAAAUGGGUCUUACAAUGGGGCGCCCUCCGCUCGCAAAUAUGCCAAAAUUCGCUACCACUUUGUAGCACGGAAUGCCAACGAGCUGUCGGUGCUGCAGGAUGAAAUCCUCGAGGUAAAAAACGCAAAUAUGGUUUUUAAUCUAAACCAAAUGCAGAUUUUAGUAUCUGGCCGGGACGAUGCAAACUCUUGUUUGUUUACCUUUUGGGAAGGUCAUACACGGCGAGCUGUGUGCACACCUGUUAUGUUGUUUUGUUUCUUUUGUUUCUUGAAAAACCAACAAACACACACAGUUUCAACAUGUAUGCAUGGAUUAAUUGGUCUUAAACCAAUAUGAAUAACGUCCACCGUUCUCCGCUGUCGGUCUUUGUCUUUGCAUGUUGCAACGAGUCAAUACACUCAUAUGAAGGCUGCUGUCAGCUUUCAUACUGUGAGUCACACUCAUUAGGUAUAUUCAGGCGAGGUCCAGUGGUUAGAAACAACCUCCACUGACUGCUCAACAGCAAGCAAGUUCAAAUACGGCAUCAGCACUUAUAUUAUUUAGCUUAUUUCAGUAAGAUUUCUUCCUAUUCUUAUUUUACCUAAUUUUGUCUGAUUAAAUAUAUUUAUAUGGGAUAAGAGAAACAGGGCUGCUGCAUUUCAUUGCAUUUUGAUGAACUGUACCUUUUAAAAUAUAUAUUAAUAAAUGAUUAUAAAUUAACUAAACGAGGUCAGAAUGACAUAAUUCCCAAAUACAAUAAUCAUUCCGAUGUAUUUACACAUGUAUUGUAAAUAAAAACUUUGUGACAAACCAAACUAGACUGUAAAACAAAGAAUGAAUGAAUGAUGAAUGAAUAGAUUUGUUCUAACCUACACUGAGCAAUGAGUGAAUGGUGAACAGUAGCUUCCUGAAAACAGAACAAUUAAAAGAAAUGAACCGUUCUUCUGUUUUCAGAAGACCAGCGGGGACUCGGAGCUGCAGGAGGUCAUGAAGUGGCGGCAGGAGAGGAUCGACUCGAACAACGCGGACGGAACCUGCUGAGCAGCACGACGGCUGCAGCAGCUGCUUCAAUCAACCUUCUGCUAAUUAUAAUCCACAGGGGGGACAUACUGAGAUGUGGUACACAUUCUUAGUCUAUAUUUAUUUUGUAUCAUACGACUUGCAUGUAUUCCAGUGUUUUCUUAUCUAAUUAUGUUGCUUUGGUUUUCAUUGCCUCAUUCAAUUUUCGUACGAACAGGGGGACAUAUGAAUCUACGCACAGUUGUGUUUGUGGGAGCACGUGUGAGCGCAACAUGCAUGUAAUGUACAUAUAUGUACCAGCUGUGUGGUCAAUGUUUCUGCUCAUUGGCAAUAUUCUAGCUGUUUACCUAAUGGCUUAAAUAAACAAGCAGUCCGUAUCUCUCACACAUCUAAAUCUGUGCCAGAACGUUUGACACAUUUUCUGAUAUAUAGCCAAUUAUUUUCGUAUUGCUGUUUACGAGUAUAACAAAUAAUCAAACACACUAUGUAUGUCAGAAGUUGACUCAUCCCGUUGGUACCUGCAGAUCAGCACCAGGUAUUAACAUGAAUAGUGUCGCUUUUCAUAAAAUUAAUCAUGCAUGUUUAUCGUCAAUAACAGUGAGACGCUAUGAUGAAUGUGUUUGUAUGCAGCAUGAUGCAUGCAUAUGUGUAAUGAUGUGAUGUGUAGUCACGAAAUGAAGAUUAAAGCAAAACAUUCAGGAUUUAAAGUUGUAAAUAUGAUAAAAACGUUAGAAUUUG